rnacentral:lncRNA from 1 species
AACAACAAAUAAACACACAAAGUAAGCUUGGAAAGCUUAGUAAGUCAUAAGCAAAUAAAUUAUUUCAAUAACAUACAUAAUUCAAUUUAACAAGGACAAUCAAGCAAAUCUUUACCACAUAUACAUUUAUCAUGCUUGCAAAUUCAUAUAAUCAUGUAAGUACUUUACUUACCUUUACUUUCAUGAACAUUUAAACCUU